UGAAGGAAUGGCGAGUUCUAAAGUGCAGUUGUCAGAGUCUCAGAACCAUUUAGGUUGGAAAAGGUCUCUGAGAGAACCAAGUCCAAUUUACGACCCAACGCCGCUGUGUCCACCACACCAUGACACCGUCUGCUACAUGCAGUUUUCCUUGGAGUCACCUCCAGCUCUCAUAGGUGAGGCAGACAACCUAACCAUUUAAGAGCAGCCUGAAUAUGAUUCACCAAGAACUUCUUGCAUAGAAGGAGCAACAGGAAGGGAGGCACAAGGAGAAGAUGAAGGGACAAGGCUGACACCACUGAAACGUGUCUGAAAGACAGGAGGUUUCCCAUCUUCAAAAUAAUAUGUGAGAAGAUAUACUUUUCACUGACAGUUUGACAGGUUGAAAACUGUAUCUCAAUAUGAUAAUGAGACUUUUGAGAAAGGAAUUGCUGGCCCCAAACCACAACAUGACCCAGCUGUGGACCAACAAGAAAUGAGAAAAGGGCAAGGGUUAUGAAGGUGGAUAGUUGGGAAUAUGGCUAUGAGUAGGGAUUUCUUGGUUGAUCCCAGCUUCUGGGAUUGGCUGUGCAUGGAAGGAAAACUAAAUGCCUUUCUCAGGGACAUAAAUCAGAUCUUCAGAUUGUUUUCCUUUUAUGCCAUAAUUUUACAUCCUCAGAUUCAUUUCUAAAAUCAAUUAAUUCCGUAAGUAAUCACUUUUUCAUGAACUACAUGUAAAUUUCACACUCAGCUUGCUAACUAGAUUUUCCUCUCAUCUGGGAAAUCAAUUUUUAAGAGAGUUAUUUUAUUUACAUUGAAUAAUUGGUUGUAUUUGGUACACAGAUAACUGGUAAUUAAUAACAGUAUUGAUACUGGAUAUUCAUUGCCAUUUGUUCUAGUGAGUUGUUAGACCAUUAGGCUGCAUGAUAUUUUCUUAAUGUGACCCAAUUUGAACACACUCAACAAAUUAAAAGGUGUGUGACAUCUUUAUGACCUGCAAAUUUAUAUAUUUGGUAGGGAUACAUUUUCAGAAAGGCAAAUUUAAUUUCAUUACACAAUUUGUAUCCAAACAUCGUGUUCCUUUUUUAGUAUCUACAACCAAUUUGAAUGCAAGAAUGGCACUGGAGGUGCACACAAAUGAAGUACUUGACUAUCCAUAUUAACUGCAUUUUAUAAUUACAAAUUAAAUUUAAUUGUCAUUUUAAAAGCCACAUUUUCAGGGUAAUCUUCAGUCCUCUUACAAAAAAAAUUCUGACUUCUCAGAAGUUCUUCCCUAGGAAAAAUGGUGGCAAGAGCUCCUGCUGGACUUUCAUCUGUCCAGAAGUAUUUGUAUUCACAAAGUAAGUGCUUGAUGAAACUACAAAAGAGUUUGCUGGCUACUUAUCAGAAUUUGCAACUUACUGCUGGGUUUUUAUGUUGAAAUAAUGUGUAAAGUCUUUUUAUCUGCAGAAGAAAACAGAAGGCAGCACAACCUUUUGACCAACCCUGAUGUCCCUACAUCAAAUUUAUGAGGGCUGCUAUUGUGGCGAACACUUGAUUCGGUGUCAAAUUUUUCUGAUGGCAAUUUUCUGUUCCCCAUUGAGCAAAUAUUCAAAUAAUCUGAUUUAUUUCCUUUUGGUCAACUGAUCUAAUUUCCUUUCUCACUUGAAUUCCUGUCCUGGAGGCUUGCCAAGCAAUGACUCUCAUGAAUGAAACGAGUCAUGCCUUUGAGAUUCCUGUGGAACAUCAAACUGGCACAACACGGUAAUUACAGCUUAGAUAUUUCUGAUGCUGUUAUUAAAAACGACUUGAACUUUAGAAGGAAGGACUACUGCAAUUAAAUGUAACUUCAAGUUUAAUUUGAAUCUUCCAGGAUCUCUAUGGUUUGUCAGGUAGUAGGCAAUUUUCUCUUUAUCCGUCUUUAUCUCUUCCUUUACCUGCUGUGGGGUAUUUACAGACACUGCCAUGAGUCCCAGUUCUGGUAGUGUACUUUUUCAGAUGUACUUUGGGGUCUUUUUGAAACUCUCUUAAUGAGUACCAGUCACAGAAGAGGUGAGAGCUUCAGAAAAGCUGAAGACUGUGUGGGUGCCAGGUCACCAUGGCAGGUUCUCACAGUACAAUUCACAUUUCCAGGCCAGAUAUAGAACACACUGAAGUUCUGAUCUAGUUCCAUUGAUAUAGGCUUGAAAACAUGUUUAGCUAAUCACAAAUACUCCUGUACAUACUUAUUUCCACAAAAUAUACACAAUUUCCUAGUGGAGAAAUGAACUACUCCAACAUAAAUUUUGCAUUAUGAUCUGGUCUUUUAGCAGUAAAUGAGGACAAUAAGAAACUUUUUCUUAAGCAGUAAAAUAUGUCACAUUCUAUCCUUUUGAAAUGGUGUUUUCAAACUGUGUCAAAAUGAUCAAGAACUGGAUCCUUCUUUAAACAUAAUAGGAAUGUCUUAUUGUAUUAGCAGAUUACAGUCAUUGUGUUAGUAUACUAUCUACCUUGUAUUCAUUUUUGCUAACAUAAUGAGAAAUUUUUCUAGCAUGGUUAUAUUUUAAUACAAUAAAAUAGUGUUGGAAAGGAAAAUUAGUAUGAUUUUAAAGAGAGAUGUAAAGACAAUAAAAUAGCCUCUGAGUUUUCUUUCCUAAACUUUUAAUUUGAUGCUAACUUAAAAUAUACUUUUUAUCAAUCCACGGAAAUAAUUAUAGUCAAAUGAACAUUUAAAGUCAGUUAAAAGGUUUACAGAUGGCUUUUUUCCACAUACUCUGCUAUAUAAGAUCUAAGCAAGUCUGCCUAGAUGUUUCUAAAUUUUCUUAUUUUAGAGAAGUACAUAACUGAUUAAUGUAGCAUCAAGCACACAGCUUUAAUGAGAAUAUUUUCAUGGCACCAUUUACAAUGCCCUUGCUCCUCUGAGGUUUGCAUUUUGAUGAAAAUUCUGACUAUAGAAUCAGAAAUACAUGUCUGGUUUUAAGCAUCAGCAGCCCAUGAACAAUUUGCUUUCUCUACUCUUUAAAAAAGACAUUUCUAAAGCACUAAUACACAGUGGGUGUUCAGGGAGAGAGUAAGACCUGUUCCAAGUUCCAGACUGAAGCUUGGAAGAUCUGCACUCGGUUCCUAUUUUUGCCACAGGAUUCCUGUGAUGAGUGAACAAGGUAUUUUCAACUUUUAUGCCUCACAGGUGCAAGAGUUCUCAUCACCCUUGUCUAUUGUGAGCAUAAAUUGUGAAGUUUUUUGCAGAAGGCAAAAGCAUCGGUGAGCAGUUGGAGAUGUACCCAUACCACCCCUUCCCUGGCUCGACUGGAUCCCAGCAGGGGCAGGCAGUGAGGGUGUGAAGUUCACUUCUGUUGUGCCACAGCCUUUGUUCAUCCCUUUGGGGUUCCCUUGGGGUGUGGGGACUCUUGUGUUUUCUGACCUGACCCCUCUGCUGCUGCAUUUGUAAUUAUGAGUGUGGGAUGUGUUCUAUGGAACCUGAAGUCAUGUAAUUCACUAAAAUGUGAGGGUUUUCACCUAGUAGUGGACAAAUUUCAUUGAACCAAAUAUAUCAAUCUCAAUUUUGUUGUAAUGAAUACAAAAUCUUUAUGCUGGGUUGGGAUCUUGGAUUGCAUUUCUCUGGAAUAGAAGAGAAACACCCUUCUGCCAUAUCACCAAAUAGAGAAGCACCUGACUUUUUUUUUAACACAAAAAGAGUCAUAAAGCAGUUGUCUUAACCUCUCAAAGAAUUUUGCUUUGUGUAUUAAUGGAUGUUGUUUAGAAGUACAAUAGGGAGUCUUACAGCUCACGUGGCACUCAGAUAUGGAGCUAGGGCAUGGUACUUAACCUCUCCUUGGUUUAGUUUGUGAAACAAACAACACUAUUUUAACUAUUUUUCAAGGAUAUUAGAUAAAAUUAAUUAGUUUAGUAUUUGUACUGCAAUAAAGAUCUAUAUAAUUGGAAAGUCUUA